rnacentral:misc_RNA from 1 species
GGAAGUAAAAGUCGUAACGAGGUCUCCGUUGGUGAACCAGCGGAGGGAUCAUUACCGAGUUUACAACUCCCAAACCCCUGUGAACAUACCUGUUUUGUUGCUUCGGCGGUGCCCUCGCUCUCGCGGCGAGGCCCGCCAGAGGACCCAAACAAACUCUUUGACUUUGAUCUAGGAUUAUACUUCUGAGUGAUACAAAAAAUAAAAUCAAAACUUUCAACGACGGAUCUCUUGGUUCUG